UUCGAAAUGUAUGUAUAGUUAUAAAGUAGUUUUUCUGAUCAUAUCCGGUGCCUAAUACUGUUUUAAUAUAUACCCAAUCUAUAUAAAAUUGUGAAUUCUUAUAUUGAUUUAAGGUUACAUAUGAAAACAGUGUAGUGUCAAAAAAUCUGAUUCUGUGACAUGCGUUAAUUCUAAUUAUUGUGAUGGCAUCGCAAAGAGAUUCUGUAAAUUUCCGUAAAAGAAAUUGCAUUUUCAAAGAUGAGUGGUUAAAAGAUCCACUAUUUAAGGAUUGGCUGGCACCAACUAACGAUAAAAAUGUAGCAAAAUGUGUGGUUUGUAAGGAUAAUCCAACGAUAUGUGUUAAAUACGACGGAAAAAAGCUAUAACUAGACAUGCUGAAACAAAAUCUCACAAGAUCGCUACGCAAAACCUUAAAAUUUCGAAAUCGUUGACUGCGUUUUUUCCAGUGGAAGAGAGCAAAUUGGAAAAUAAAAUAACUGCGGUAGAAUUGACAAAAGUGUAUCACAAUGUAAAACAUGGAUUCAAUUAUUUAUCUGCUGACUGUGGAAUUAAAAUUGACAGAGAACUCUUUGGCGAUUCUGAAAUUGCAAUCAAGAUGCAAUUAGCCAGGACUAAAAUGGAAAGCAAUGUAAAAAAUGUCUUAUGUCCAUAUUCCGUAGAAUUCGUUCUGGAAAAAAUACGAAAAUGGGACCUGCCUUAUUCCAUUUGAAGUGAUGCUUCCAAUAAAGGAAACAGAAAGUUCUUUCUGCUAGCUGUGCGAAUCUUUGAAGUUAACUCUGGCGUAAAACAUUAUAUCCUGGACUUGUACAAGGAAUCAGACGAAACAUCGAGAUCAAUUACAAACACAAUUUUAAGAUCUCUAAAAGAAGUAGGUCUAAAUGUAGAUAAAUUGGUAUCUUACAGCGCGGUUAAUGCUCGCGUUAAUCAUGGAGAACACUGCUCUGUAUAUCAAAAAUUAAGGGAAAUAAGUCCUCGGCUGAUCAAAUCCAGUUGCAAGUGCCACAUAAUUCACAACGCUGCGAAAAAUUGAAUGAAGCUUUUGACAUAUGAUGCAGAAAUCUUGGUACUUAAAGUUUUCAGCGAUUUUUCAUGCAGUGCAAAAAAUGUCGGAGCGCUAAAAGAGUGUUUUGAGUUCGUAGAACAAGAAUAUUAUAUUAUUCUUAGACACAUUGGAGUGAGAUGGCUUUCUCUCUUCAGAGAAAUUAAUCGGUUGUUGUUGAACUGGACUCCUAUAAAAUUUACUUUAUCAAACAAUAUAAGUUUAAGAUUAUGUACUAAGCAACUUCAGUAAUUUUUUUAAUUUG